rnacentral:rRNA from 1 species
UACGAAGGGGGCGAGCGUUGUUCGGAUUUACUGGGCGUAAAGGGCGCGUAGGCGGCCUCGCAAGUCGAGUGUGAAAGCCCCGGGCUCAACCUGGGAAUUGCGCUCGAGACUGUGGUGCUGGAGUUCGGGAGAGGGAGCGUGGAAUUCCCAGUGUAGGAGGUGAAAUUCGUAGAUAUUGGGAAGAACACCCGUGGCGAAGGCGGCUCUCUGGACGCAACUGACGCUGAGACGCGAAAGCGUGGGGAGCAACAGGAUAGAUACCCUGG